rnacentral:rRNA from 1 species
GACGAACUUUGGCGGCGUGCUUAACACAUGCAAGUCGAACGGAAAGGCCCUGCUUUUGUGGGGUGCUCGAGUGGCGAACGGGUGAGUAACACGUGAGUAACCUGCCCUUGACUUUGGGAUAACUUCAGGAAACUGGGGCUAAUACCGGAUAGGAGCUCCUGCUGCAUGGUGGGGGUUGGAAAGUUUCGGCGGUUGGGGAUGGACCCGCGGCUUAUCAGCUUGUUGGUGGGGUAGUGGCUUACCAAGGCUUUGACGGGUAGCCGGCCUGAGAGGGUGACCGGCCACAUUGGGACUGAGAUACGGCCCAGACUCCUACGGGAGGCAGCAGUGGGGAAUAUUGCACAAUGGGCGGAAGCCUGAUGCAGCAACGCCGCGUGCGGGAUGACGGCCUUCGGGUUGUAAACCGCUUUCGCCUGUGACGAAGCGUGAGUGACGGUAAUGGGUAAAGAAGCACCGGCUAACUACGUGCCAGCAGCCGCGGUGAUACGUAGGGUGCGAGCGUUGUCCGGAUUUAUUGGGCGUAAAGGGCUCGUAGGUGGUUGAUCGCGUCGGAAGUGUAAUCUUGGGGCUUAACCCUGAGCGUGCUUUCGAUACGGGUUGACUUGAGGAAGGUAGGGGAGAAUGGAAUUCCUGGUGGAGCGGUGGAAAUGCGCAGAUAUCAGGAGGAACACCAGUGGGCGAAGGCGGUUCUCUGGGCCUUUCCUGACGUUGAGGAGCGAAAGCGUGGGGAGCGAACAGGCUUAGAUACCCUGGUAGUCCACGCUGUAAACGGUGGGUACUGGGUGUGGGGUCCAUUCCACGGGUUCCGUGCCGUAGCUAACGCUUUAAGUACCCCGCCUGGGGAGUACGGCCGCAAGGCUAAAACUCAAAGGAAUUGACGGGGCCCCGCACAAGCGGCGGAGCAUGCGGAUUAAUUCGAUGCAACGCGUAGAACCUUACCUGGGUUUGACAUGGAUCGGGAGUGCUCAGAGAUGGGUGUGCCUCUUUUGGGGUCGGUUCACAGGUGGUGCAUGGCUGUCGUCAGCUCGUGUCGUGAGAUGUUGGGUUAAGUCCCGCGACGAGCGCAACCCUUGUUCACUGUUGCCAGCACGUUAUGGUGGGGACUCAGUGGAGACCGCCGGGGUCAACUCGGAGGAAGGUGGGGAUGACGUCAAGUCAUCAUGCCCCUUAUGUCCAGGGCUUCACGCAUGCUACAAUGGCUGGUACAGAGAGUGGCGAGCCUGUGAGGGUGAGCGAAUCUCGGAAAGCCGGUCUCAGUUCGGAUUGGGGUCUGCAACUCGACCCCAUGAAGUCGGAGUCGCUAGUAAUCGCAGAUCAGCAACGCUGCGGUGAAUACGUUCCCGGGGCU